rnacentral:rRNA from 1 species
CCUACGGGCGGCUGCAGUGAGGAAUAUUGGUCAAUGGACGAGAGUCUGAACCAGCCAAGUAGCGUGAAGGAUGACUGCUCUAUGGGUUGUAAACUUCUUUUAUAUGGGAAUAAAAUGUUCCACGUGUGGGAUUUUGUAUGUCUCAUUUGAAUAAGGAUCGGCUAACUCCGUGCCAGCAGCCGCGGUAAUACGGAGGAUCCGAGCGUUAUCCGGAUUUAUUGGGUUUAAAGGGAGCGUAGAUGGAUUGUUAAGUCAGUUGUGAAAGUUUGCGGCUCAACCGUAAAAUUGCAGUUGAAACUGGCAGUCUGGAGUACAGGAGAGGUGAGCGGAAUGCGUGGUGUAGCGGUGAAAUGCUUAGAUAUCACGAAGAACGCCGAUUGCGAAGGCAGUUCACUGGACUGCAACUGACACUGAGGCUCGAAAGUGUGGGUAGCAAACAGGAUUAGAUACCCGGGUAGUC